rnacentral:rRNA from 1 species
AGAGUUUGAUCCUGGCUCAGAAUGAACGUUGGCGGCGUGGAUUAGGCAUGCAAGUCGAGCGAGAAAUUUUAAAAAGAUACUUCGGUUGAUUUUUAGAAUGGACAGCGGCGAAAGGGAGAGUAACGAGUAAAUACGUACCCAGGGGUUCGGGAUAGCCAUGCGAAAGCGUGAGUAAUACCGAAUAAUGCCUCCGGACCAAAGAUUUAUUGCCCUUGGAGCGGUUUGCUUACUAUUAGCUUGUUGGUGGGGUAAAGGCCUACCAAGGCUUAGAUGGUUAGCGGGUGUGAGAGCAUGACCCGUCUCACUGGGACUGAGACACUGCCCAGACACCUACGGGUGGCUGCAGUCGAGAAUCUUCCGCAAUGGACGAAAGUCUGACGGAGCGACGCCGCGUGCUGGAUGAAGGCCUUCGGGUUGUAAACAGCUGUCGUAGGGGAGGAAAUUUUGACCGAUCCUAGGAGGAAGCACGGGCUAAGUUCGUGCCAGCAGCCGCGGUAAUACGAACUGUGCAAACGUUAUUCGGAAUCACUGGGCUUAAAGGGUGCGUAGGCGGACUUGUAGGUCAGAUGUGAAAUCCCACGGCUCAACCGUGGAAUUGCGUUUGAAACCACUCGUCUUGAGGGGAUCAGAGGAGAGCGGAACUGAUGGUGGAGCGGUGAAAUGCGUUGAUAUUAUCAGGAACACCGGUGGCGAAAGCGGCUCUCUGGGAUCCUUC